AUCUGGUUUAAGAGCUCUUUUAGAUGUGAUGUCGUAUUUUAUCUGUGUGAUUGGCAUGUACAUUACAUCUACUGAGUCUCUUACAAGAUUAGCACUGUAAAAAUCUGCUUCUAUAAUAAUGGGUGACUUGUAAUAGUUGAUAACAGUCUCGUCAAUAUAAAACUUAGCACAUACUGUACAAAGGUAUUGGAUGGGUACUACUUAAUAGUACAUUAGGAUAGGACUUACAGAUGUCCAUAUUUACUACAUUAUCUGGUAUAACAUCUGUUGAACACCAUUUUAAUGCCCUUGGAUGAAAGUCAUCCAACAUCUGUUUAGCAGUCUCAUUAUACGAUCAUCACGGUACCUUUGCUAUGAAACAUAUUUCAUGGGACAUGUUUUUACAUUUUUUGUAUUCAUAAUUCUUACAUUCUUUAUAUUCAUUGAAACAUAAUCAUUAACCAACUUCUUAUACUUCUACCUAUUGUUUCAAUAGUAUUGUCCAUUUCCUCACUCUUGUUCAUUAUUUUCUGUAUUUUGUAUUUGUACCUUGGUGGAGGUACAGGUGCUACUUCUGUUGCCUUUUCAAAUUCUGAUCCUAUUUGCUUAACACUUUUCAUACCUACCACAGGUUUUGGUCCUCUUGAUUGCUGCUUCAUCAACAGGAAGACCAGAAUUCACCUCACAGUCUAAUCCAGUUGCGAUUCCACCCAGCGGAAAGAGGGAUCCAUAGACCAUCUGAAAUUGCUGGUCUGCCAUCUUUCUUGAUCCUGCAUCGAAUACAAAACGAUUUUGUUCGUGGUAGCAGUCAGCAAGUUUUAAGCUGUAAUGUGAUACUUUGUUGAGCUGUUGGAUAUAAAGCUAGAGCUUGGGGACAUCAAUGAAUCCGUGAGCGUCGACAAGUUUGGGUACGGAUUCAUCAGCGUGGUGGCAGGGGACACAUCCUCGUUUUACAAUGUUGAAGAAUUCAAAAAUAAAAUCUUACAAUAAGACAUGAGAGGCAACAGAAGCACUUGUCUUUUAAGAAUAAAAAAUCGAAAAUAGAUAUAGAAAACCCUGAUUCCUACACACGACCACGUGUGUGCCUCCUUUUUCUGCUCUACGUUAAAUUGAAAGAAAACCUUAUGAUUAUGAAGAAAAUGUCGCAAAGAUAAUAAAAUCCCUACUUACCGCUCG